rfam:Vittaforma corneae ATCC 50505 unplaced genomic scaffold supercont1.24, whole genome shotgun sequence.
GGGGCUAUAGCUCAGUGGUAGAGCGCUUGCUUUGCAUGUAAGAGGCCAUGGGUUCGAAUCCUGUUAGCUCCA